GACGUAGGGCGCGAGCGUUGUCCGGAUUUAUUGGGCGUAAAGAGCUCGUAGGCGGCUCGUUGCGUCGGCUGUGAAAACCCGCAGCUCAACUAUGGGCUUGCAGCUGAUACGGGCAGACUAGAGUGUGGUAGGGGAGACUGGAAUUCCUGGUGUAGCGGUGAAAUGCGCAGAUAUCAGGAGGAACACCGAUGGCGAAGGCAGGUCUCUGGGCCACUACUGACGCUGAGAAGCGAAAGCAUGGGGAGCGAACAGG
rnacentral:rRNA from 1 species